CAGCCGCCGCGGUAAAACCAGCACCUCAAGUGGUCAGGAUGAUUAUUGGGCCUAAAGCAUCCGUAGCCUGCUUUGUUAGUUUUCGGUUAAAUCCAUACGCUCAACGUAUGGGCUGCCGGGAAUACUGCAAAGCUAGGGAGUGGGAGAGGUAGACGGUACUCGGUAGGAAGGGGUAAAAUCCUUUGAUCUAUUGAUGACCACCUGUGGCGAAGGCGGUCUACCAGAACACGUCCGACGGUGAGGGAUGAAAGCUGGGGGAGCAAACCGGAUUAGAUACCCGGGUAGUCCCAGCUGUAAACUAUGCAAACUCAGUGAUGCAUUGGCUUGAUGCCAAUGCAGUGCCGCAGGGAAGCCGUUAAGUUUGCCGCCUGGGAAGUACGUACGCAAGUAUGAAACUUAAAGGAAUUGGCGGGGGAGCAC
rnacentral:rRNA from 2 species